CAGUGCCGCGGGAAUACGUAGGGGGCAAGCGUUAUCCGGAAUAACUGGGCGUAAAGGGUGCGCAGGUGGUUUAACAAGUUAGUGGUGAAAGGCAUAGGCUCAACCAAUGUAAGCCAUUAAAACUGUUUAACUUGAGUGCAGGAGAGGAAAGUGGAAUUCCUAGUGUAGCGGUGAAAUGCGUAGAUAUUAGGAGGAAUACCAGUGGCGAAGGCGACUUUCUGGACUGCAACUGACACUGAGGCACGAAAGCGUGGGGAGCAAACAGGAUUAGAUACCCCCGUAGUCCCUGUCUCUUAUACAC
rnacentral:rRNA from 1 species